GAUGGUAUAGCUCAGUAGCAGAGUGUGUUCCUAGCAUGCACGAGGUCCUGGGUUCAAUCCCCAGUACUGACA
rnacentral:tRNA from 1 species